UUUCCGUAGGUGAACCUGCGGAAGGAUCAUUAUCGAAUCUCCUUCAUAAUCUAUUACACACUUGUGCACCAACUGUAGGUUAACUCGAAAGAGUAACACCUAUGUACUAUCUACAUCACACUACCCCAACCGUAUGUCUAUAGAAUAAAUCCAAUAAUACAACUUUCAGCAAUGGAUCUCUUGGUUCUCGCAUCGAUGAAGAACGCAGC
rnacentral:misc_RNA from 1 species